rnacentral:tRNA from 1 species
ACUCUCGUGGUGCAGGGGUAACGCGCCCUGUCUAGUGAUCAGGGAGUCGUGAGUUCGAUUCUCACCGAGAAGA